AAACGUUGGGCACUAGGUGUGGGGGACAUUCCACGUUUUCCGCGCCGUAGCUAACGCAUUAAGUGCCCCGCCUGGGGAGUACGGCCGCAAGGCUAAAACUCAAAGGAAUUGACGGGGGCCCGCACAAGCGGCGGAGCAUGCGGAUUAAUUCGAUGCAACGCGAAGAACCUUACCAAGGCUUGACAUACACCAGACCGGCCCAGAGAUGGGUUUUCCUCUUUGAGGUUGGUGUACAGGUGGUGCAUGGUUGUCGUCAGCUCGUGUCGUGAGAUGUUGGGUUAAGUCCCGCAACGAGCGCAACCCUCGUUCUAUGUUGCCAGCACGUGAUGGUGGGGACUCAUAGGAGACUGCCGGGGUCAACUCGGAGGAAGGUGGGGAUGACGUCAAAUCAUCAUGCCCCUUAUGUCUUGGGCUUCACGCAUGCUACAAUGGCCGGUACAAUGGGUUGCGAUACCGUGAGGUGGAGCUAAUCCCAAAAAGCUGGUCUCAGUUCGGAUCGUGGUCUGCAACUCGACCACGUGAAGUCGGAGUCGCUAGUAAUCGCAGAUCAGCAACGCUGCGGUGAAUACGUUCCCGGGCCUUGUACACACCGCCCGUCAAGUCACGAAAGUUGGUAACACCCGAAGCCGGUGGCCUAACCCUUGUGGGGGGAGCCGUCGAAGGUGGGACUGGCGAGUUGG
rnacentral:rRNA from 1 species